UACGUAGGGGGCAAGCGUUGUCCGGAUUUAUUGGGCGUAAAGAGCGUGUAGGCGGCCAAGCAGGUCCGCUGUGAAAACUCGAGGCUCAACCUCGAGAGGUCGGUGGAAACCGUUUGGCUAGAGUGCGGAAGGGGCAACUGGAAUUCUCGGUGUAGCGGUGAAAUGCGUAGAUAUCGAGAGGAACACCUGCGGCGAAGGCGGGUUGCUGGGCCGACACUGACGCUGAUGCGCGAAAGCCAGGGGAGCGAACGGG
rnacentral:rRNA from 1 species